rnacentral:rRNA from 1 species
UACGUAGGGCGCGAGCGUUGUCCGGAUUUACUGGGCGUAAAGAGCUCGUAGGCGGCUCGUUGCGUCGGCUGUGAAAACCCGCAGCUCAACUGUGGGCUUGCAGCUGAUACGGGCGGGCUGGAGUUCGGUAGGGGAGACUGGAAUUCCUGGUGUAGCGGUGAAAUGCCCAGAUAUCAGGAGGAACACCGGUGGCGAAGGCGGGUCUCUGGGCCGAUACUGACGCUGAGGAGCGAAAGCGUGGGGAGCGAACAGG